rnacentral:rRNA from 1 species
UACGUAGGGCGCAAGCGUUGUCCGGAUUUAUUGGGCGUAAAGAGCUCGUAGGCGGUUUGUCACGUCGGUUGUGAAAACCCGCAGCUUAACUGCGGGCUUGCGGUUGAUACGGGCGGGCUAGAGUUCGGUAGGGGAGACUGGAAUUCCUGGUGUAGCGGUGAAAUGCGCAGAUAUCAGGAGGAACACCGGUGGCGAAGGCGGGUCUCUGGGCCGGAUACUGACGCUGAGGAGCGAAAGCGUGGGGAGCGAACAGG